rfam:Clostridium botulinum A str. ATCC 3502 complete genome
AAACAAAUCAUGCCGAAUCUUCUUUAUGAAGUACCGGGGAUACUCUUGGGGUGAAUCUCUUAGGAAUAGGGUACCUCUAACCCGAACCCGUCAACUAACCUGGGAGGCAAUAUGGAGGGAUUUA